rnacentral:rRNA from 1 species
UAGGGAAUCUUCGGCAAUGGACGAAAGUCUGACCGAGCAACGCCGCGUGAGUGAAGAAGGUUUUCGGAUCGUAAAACUCUGUUGUUAGAGAAGAACAAGGACGUUAGUAACUGAACGUCCCCUGACGGUAUCUAACCAGAAAGCCACGGCUAACUACGUGCCAGCAGCCGCGGUAAUACGUAGGUGGCAAGCGUUGUCCGGAUUUAUUGGGCGUAAAGCGAGCGCAGGCGGUUUCUUAAGUCUGAUGUGAAAGCCCCCGGCUCAACCGGGGAGGGUCAUUGGAAACUGGGAGACUUGAGUGCAGAAGAGGAGAGUGGAAUUCCAUGUGUAGCGGUGAAAUGCGUAGAUAUAUGGAGAAACACCAGUGGCGAAGGCGGCUCUCUGGUCUGUAACUGACGCUGAGGCGCGAAAGCGUGGGGAGCAAACAGG